rnacentral:rRNA from 1 species
GUACCUACGGGACGCAGCAGUAGGGAAUAUUGCUCAAUGGGGGAAACCCUGAAGCAGCAACGCCGCGUGGAGGAUGAAGGUUUUCGGAUUGUAAACUCCUUUUGUUAGAGAAGAUAAUGACGGUAUCUAACGAAUAAGCACCGGCUAACUCCGUGCCAGCAGCCGCGGUAAUACGGCGGGUGCAAGCGUUACUCGGAAUCAGUGGGCGUAAAGAGCGCGUAGGCGGGAUAGCACGUCAGAUGUGAAAUCCUAUGGCUUAGCCAUAGAACGGCAUUUGAAACUGUUAUUCUACAGUAUGGGAGAGG